GCCCGCCUAGCUCAAUCGGAUAGAGCGUCAGACUCUUACAACAGAGUUAUGCGGGAUCUGAAGGCUGCGAGUUCGACCCUCGCGGUGGGCU
rnacentral:tRNA from 1 species